GUAGGUGGCAAGCGUUGUCCGGAAUUAUUGGGCGUAAAGCGCGCGCAGGCGGUUCUUUAAGUCUGAUGUGAAAGCCCACGGGCUCAACCGUGGAGGGUCAUUGGAAACUGGAGAACUUGAGUACAGAAGAGGAAGGCGGAAUUCCACGUGUAGCGGUGAAAUGCGUAGAGAUGUGGAGGAACACCAGUGGCGAAGGCGGCUUUCUGGUCUGUAACUGACGCUGAGGCGCGAAAGCGUGGGGAGCAAACAGGAUUAGAUACCCUGGUAGUCCACGCCGUAAACGAUGAGUGCUAAGUGUUAGGGGGUUUCCGCCCCUUAGUGCUGCAGCUAACGCAUUAAGCACUCCGCCUGGGGAGUACGGCCGCAAGGCUG
rnacentral:rRNA from 1 species